rnacentral:rRNA from 1 species
CGGGAGCAAUCCUGGUGGCGAGUGGCGAACGGGUGAGUAAUAUAUCGGAACGUGCCCAGUAGUGGGGGAUAGCCCGGCGAAAGCCGGAUUAAUACCGCAUACGACCUGUGGGUGAAAGCGGGGGAUCGCAAGACCUCGCGCUAUUGGAGCGGCCGAUAUCAGAUUAGCUUGUUGGUGGGGCAAAAGCCCACCAAGGCGACGAUCUGUAGCCGGUCUGAGAGGACGACCAGCCACACUGGGACUGAGACACGGCCCAGACUCCUACGGGAGGCAGCAGCGGGGAAUUUUGGACAAUGGGCGCAAGCCUGAUCCAGCCAUGCCGCGUGUGGGAAGAAGGCCUUCGGGUUGUAAACCACUUUUGUCAGGGAAGAAACGGUCUGAUCUAAUACAUUGGGCUAAUGACGGUACCUGAAGAAUAAGCACCGGCUAACUACGCGCCAGCAGCCGCGGUAAUACGUAGGGUGCAAGCGUUAAUCGGAAUUACUGGGCGUAAAG